rnacentral:rRNA from 1 species
GAAAGAAACCAACAGGGAUUGCCUCAGUAACGGCGAGUGAAGCGGCAACAGCUCAAAUUUGAAAUCUGGCCCUCGGGUCCGAGUUGUAAUUUGUAGAGGAUGCUUUUGGCGCGGUGCCUUCCGAGUUCCCUGGAACGGGACGCCUUAGAGGGUGAGAGCCCCGUACGGUUGGACACCAAGCCUCUGUAAAGCUCCUUCGACGAGUCGAGUAGUUUGGGAAUGCUGCUCUAAAUGGGAGGUAAAUUUCUUCUAAAGCUAAAUAUUGGCCAGAGACCGAUAGCGCACAAGUAGAGUGAUCGAAAGAUGAAAAGCACUUUGAAAAGAGGGUUAAAUAGCACGUGAAAUUGUUGAAAGGGAAGCGUUUGCGACCAGACCUUUUCCUGGCGGAUCAUCCGGUGUUCUCACCGGUGCACUUCGCCAGGUCGAGGCCAGCAUCGGUUUCCGCGGGGGGAUAAAAGCUCUGGGAACGUAGCUCCUCCGGGAGUGUUAUAGCCCUCUGCACAAUACCCCCGCGGGGACCGAGGACCGCGCUCUAAGCAAGGAUGCUGGCGUAAUGGUUGUCAACGACCCGUCUUGAAACACGGACCAAGGAGUCGAACAUUUGUGCGAGUGUUUGGGUGUCAAACCCUCACGCGUAAUGAAGGUGAACGUAGGUGAGAGCCCUUACGGGUGCAUCAUCGACCGAUCCUGAUGUCUUCGGAUGGAUUUGAGUAAGAGCAUAACUGUUCGGACCCGAAAGAUGGUGAACUAUGCGUGGAUAGGGUGAAGCCAGAGGAAACUCUGGUGGAGGCUCGCAGCGGUUCUGACGUGCAAAUCGAUCGUCAAAUCUGCGCAUGGGGGCGAAAGACUUAUCGAACCAUCUAG